AGUGAACGCUGGCGGCGUGCUUAACACAUGCAUGUCGAACGAGAACGGAAUAUAGCUUGCUAUAUUUGUCAGCUAAGUGGCGCACGGGUGAGUAAUGUAUAGAUAACCUGCCCUUAAGAAAGGAAUAACAGUUGGAAACGACUGCUAAUGCCCUAUAUGCCUUUAAUACAUAAGUAUGCAAGGGAAACGCUUUAGUGCUUAAGGAUGGGUCUGUAUGGUAUCAGCUUGUUGGUGAGGUAAUGGCUCACCAAGGCUAUGACGCCUAACUGGUUUGAGAGGAUGAUCAGUCACACUGGAACUGAGACACGGUCCAGACUCCUACGGGAGGCAGCAGUGGGGAAUAUUGCACAAUGGACGAAAGUUUGAUGCAGCAACGCCGCGUGGAGGAUGACACAUUUCGGUGCGUAAACUCCUUUUAUAUAGGAAGAUAGUGACGGUACUAUAUGAAUAAGCACCGGCUAACUCCGUGCCAGCCGCCGCAGUAA
rnacentral:rRNA from 1 species